GGAGCGGCUCGGGUGAUCGCCGGCGCACCGUCGAAAGACGGGCACGCGGGAGGAAAGUCCGAGCUCCACAGGGCAGGAUGCCGGCUAACGGCCGGUGGGGGCGACCCCGAGGACAGUGCAACAGAGAGCAGACCGCCGCCCCCUCUCGCGAGAGAGGCAUCGCGGCAAGGGUGAAACGGUGAGGUAAGAGCUCACCGGGCCGCUGGUGACAGCGGCUGCACGGCAAACCCCAUCCGGAGCAAGACCGAAUAGGGGAGCGCUGUGUCUCCGGGGCACCGCAAGGCUCCACGGAGGCACGAGAGGACGGCCCGUCCGAAGCUCCCGGGUGUGUCGCUGGAGGCACGCGGCAACGCGCGUCCUAGAGGAAUGAUCGCCACUCGCUCCGCGGCGACGCGGGGAGAGAACAGAACUCGGCUUACGAGCCGGUCCGACC
rnacentral:RNase_P_RNA from 1 species